rnacentral:rRNA from 1 species
UGAGUAACACGUAUCCAACCUGCCGUCUACUCUUGGACAGCCUUCUGAAAGGAAGAUUAAUACAAGAUGGCAUCAUGAGUCCACAUGUUCACAUGAUUAAAGGUAUUCCGGUAGACGAUGGGGAUGCGUUCCAUUAGAUAGUAGGCGGGGUAACGGCCCACCUAGUCUACGAUGGAUAGGGGUUCUGAGAGGAAGGUCCCCCACAUUGGAACUGAGACACGGUCCAA